CAACUUUCAGCAACGGAUCUCUUGGCUCUCGCAUCGAUGAAGAACGCAGCGAAAUGCGAUAAGUAAUGUGAAUUGCAGAAUUCAGUGAAUCAUCGAAUCUUUGAACGCACCUUGCGCUCCUUGGUAUACCGAGGAGCAUGCCUGUUUGAGUGUCAUUA
rnacentral:rRNA from 1 species